AGUGAACGCUGGCGGUAGGCCUAACACAUGCAAGUCGAACGGCAGCACAGUAAGAGCUUGCUCUUACGGGUGGCGAGUGGCGGACGGGUGAGGAAUACAUCGGAAUCUACUUUUUCGUGGGGGAUAACGUAGGGAAACUUACGCUAAUACCGCAUACGACCUACGGGCGAAAGCAGGGGAUCUUCGGACCUUGCGCGAUUGAAUGAGCCGAUGUCGGAUUAGCUAGUUGGCGGGGUAAAGGCCACCAAGGCGACGAUCCGUAGCUGGUCUGAGAGGAUGAUCAGCCACACUGGAACUGAGACACGGUCCAGACUCCUACGGGAGGCAGCAGUGGGGAAUAUUGGACAAUGGGCGCAAGCCUGAUCCAGCCAUACCGCGUGGGUGAAGAAGGCCUUCGGGUUGUAAAGCCCUUUUGUUGGGAAAGAAAAGCAGCAGGUUAAUACCCCGCUGUUCUGACGGUACCCAAAGAAUAAGCACCGGCUAACUUCGUG
rnacentral:rRNA from 1 species